rnacentral:ncRNA from 1 species
GUGCGACAGGAAGUCGCUUAACGUAUUGUUUUACAUUGAUAAAACCAGCUAUCCCAUUAGCUGUAGCCUACCGGGACAGGCGCUGCCGGCAACGGCGGGGUCUGAAGCUCCCGGGACAACGAGAGCCGGGCGUCAGCCGGGUAAAGCCCCGUGAGGGGCUUUACCUUGCUGCAAGCAUCAUGUGGCAGGAGAGCAAGGCUGGUCAGAAGGGUUAACACAUGUGAACUGUUGAUAAACACCGUUAUCGGCAACAGGCCAAAGAUGCUGACAGGCCUGAACCAAAAGGUACGGGGUCCGGUUGCUACCUCGCGCACAGGGAGCACAUGGGCGCAGAGACCCCCGGUGAAGAGACAGAACCCGCCCUGACCCUCUGUAUGUUAAGCGGAACCUGGUAAACCCGUAUCGCUGCCUUACAGGCAGGUGAACCGUAAGGAACACUGUAGGCGGUGCGGGCAGAGGAGGACGGAAAAAGCAAAUGCCCGGUUGUAAUGACCGGGAUACGGGGCAGGUUCCCCGACGCGAAAGCGGGCAGACUUCCGUCUGGUCUUUAAUUGCAUGAAAAGCUGUAAAGCAGUCAAAAGGAUAUCAGCGAGAUGAAUACACACAUCAGUGUGUCCACGAUACCCCACCCGACAGGCUGGCACACCAUAGACUGGAAAGCAUGCCAUGCCCGGGUGCGAAAGCUACAGUUACGGAUUGCAAAGGCAACCCGACAGCAACAAUGGCGGCAGGUCAGAGAACUACAGCGCAUCCUCACCCGCUCAUUCUCCGGCAAAGCCGUGGCUGUCAGGCGUGUAACUGAAAAUACCGGUAAAAGGACACCCGGUAUUGACGGAAAAAUAUGGCACACACCGAAGGAGAAAUGGGAAGGAAUAUGCAGCCUGAAUCUGUGUGGUUACAGGCCACAGCCACUACGGCGAAUACAUAUCCCAAAAUCAAACGGCAAAACGCGACCGCUGGGCAUACCCACAAUGAGGGACCGGGCCAUGCAGGCACUGUGGCUGCUGGCUCUGGAACCCGUAUCCGAGACCACUGCUGACCAUAACAGCUAUGGUUUCAGACCAAUGCGCAGCACGCAUGACGCCAUUGAGUCCAUUUUUCUGCGGAUGAGCCAGAAAGUAUCGCCCAAAUGGAUACUGGAGGGCGAUAUUAAAGGGUGUUUCGAUAACAUCAGCCAUGACUGGCUGCUUUCCCAUAUUCCGAUGGACAGGAGACUGCUUAAAAAAUGGUUGAAAGCAGGUUACAUGGAAAGAGGCGUGUUUAACCAUACGAACAGCGGGACACCGCAGGGAGGCAUCAUAUCCCCUGUUCUCGCCAACAUGGCUCUGGACGGACUGGAGAAGGAACUGAUGCAAACGUUCAGGAAAAGUGGUUAUCACAGUGCAAAGCACCAGGUGAAUUAUGUGAGAUAUGCUGAUGAUUUCAUCUGUUCAGGCAGCUCCCGUGAAUUGCUGGAAAAUGAGGUCAGACCACUGAUUGCAGCUUUCAUGCGCGAACGAGGGCUGGAACUGUCGGAAGAAAAAACCGCGAUUACACAUAUAGAUAAAGGCUUCGACUUUUUAGGGCAGAACGUCAGGAAGUACAACGGUAAAAUGCUGAUUAAACCGUCGAAGAAAAACCUGAAGAACUUCCUCUGUAAAGUCAGAGAAAUAAUUAAACGCAAUCCGACGCUCCCGGCAUGGAAACUGAUAGGCCAGCUAAACCCGGUAAUCCGGGGAUGGGCUACCUAUCACCGACACGUCGUGGCGAAAGAAACAUUUAAUUAUGUCGACACCCAAAUCUGGCGAGCUAUAUGGCGAUGGUGUGUAAGAAGGCACCCCCGAAAAGGAUUGCGGUGGAUCGCCGGACGAUACUUCUCCUUUGAAGGCAGGCGCUGGAUCUUUAAAGCCAUAACCCCGGAAGGGAAAAUUCUGACUCUCUUCCGGGCAAUGGAAACACCGAUAAAGCGCCAUAUAAAAAUCAAAGGCGAAGCAACACCAUACACCCCCGGAAUGGAAAUCUACUUUGAACGUCGUCUGGAUCUAAUCUGGAAAGGCAAAUCAAAGAAGAUGAAGACAGUAGUUCAACUCUGGAAGAGGCAGGGGAAACACUGUCCGCAGUGCGGACAACCCAUAACCAACCAGACCGGAUGGAAUAUACAUCACCGGAUCAGGAAAGUUAUGGGCGGCAGUGACGAACUGACCAAUCUCGAGUUGUUACAUCCGAACUGCCACCGACAGUUACACAGCAGGGAAGCCGGUGCUCACCGAAAGCACUUAUAAAGGCUUGAGCGGAGUGCGGGGAAACUCGCACGCUCCGUUCUUAGGGGGCGGCGGCGCAGCAAUGUGCCGCUGCUACCCGAC